rnacentral:misc_RNA from 1 species
GCUGCCGGAUGUAAACAACAUCUCUUCCACCGAUUGUAGCGGAUGUGAUAAUAUGGGUACCAUAACUUUCAAUGAAGCUUGCCAAGGAUGCAGGAUCCCAGGAGUAUGGAACAGCACGAUUGAUUUCCUCACACAAGACUAAAUUCACUUUUGCUAAUUGAACAUUAUAAAGAGAAAUGAAAUGCCCAACCAUUGCAAGGGAUU